AGCUCUGAGGUGUGAUCACGUUAGAUUGCAAAUCUAAAGAAGUAGGCGAAGAGCCUACCGGGGCUU
rnacentral:tRNA from 2 species